GCCGGGGAGAGAUGGUCGGCAUGGUGACUGCCCAGGGAGGAGGGAGGAGGAGGAGGGAGAUGAAAGGAAGAGCACAGAGCAGACCCACCGAUUUAACCUUAGUCUAAUCACGGGACAAUUUCCAACCUACCGACCGGUCUGUAACUCCAAUUCUGUAAGAACCUGCUAAUUGCGUGCCACCAGAGAUUUUGUGUUUUCUCCCCGUAAGUAGCAUGUUGAAACCUGAAAUGUGGCUUUUAAUCUACACUCCACUGC